UACAGAGGGUGCAAGCGUUGUUCGGAAUUAUUGGGCGUAAAGCGCGUGUAGGCGGCUUUGCAAGUCGGGUGUGAAAGCCCUCAGCUCAACUGAGGAAGUGCGCCCGAAACUGCAUGGCUUGAGUACCGGAGAGGAUGGUGGAAUUCCCGAAGUAGAGGUGAAAUUCGUAGAUAUCGGGAGGAACACCGGUGGCGAAGGCGACCAUCUGGACGGAUACUGACGCUGAGACGCGAAAGCGUGGGUAGCAAACAGGAUUAGAAACCCCCGUAGUCC
rnacentral:rRNA from 1 species